rnacentral:lncRNA from 1 species
CGUUGGGCUUAGAGCCUGACAGCUUUGCAAUCACAGAUUAAAAUGGGAAAGCAGAAGCUGUUUCCAGUCCUCUUACAUUCCUCUCAUAACUCUGGCUCCUCGAUGUGGCUGCUGCUGAGCCACUGGGGAAGCAGCUGGGCACACCAGGCUAAGGGAAUCCCGGUAAGAAGAUCAGAUCCCAAAGGAUCCAGUGCUGACCCCUGGUGCUGUGCCCUUCUCCAGGAUCAUCUCUGAGUAGGAAGGCUCCCUAGCGAGAGCACUUGCAAGGUGAAAAAAAAGGCAAUUUUGGCUAAAAGACUUCGAAUCAGCUGCUGACAUGAGUGGGAGUGGAGUGAAUUCAGCGCUCAAGAAAGCAACCACCACCUCGCAGGCUCUGAAAGAACAGUUCACCCGGGAAGAGACCACUGCAGAGAGAGACACUGCUCACAUUUUAGUCCAAAGGAAGGCUGAUGUCUGGAGGAAGAAAAUCUGCAGCUGCCACCUGAGAUUCCCAACUCCUCAAAAAAGUGCAUGCAGUGAAUGGGACUCCAUUUAGUAGGUUUGCAAAACACUGAAAUACUAUGUAAAAUUAAAAUUAACUACAAUAAUAGAUAAAUACUACUUCUUCAAGAGUCCAUAGAUACCCACUCCUGGUUUGAGCAUGCAGACACGAAUUUGGCAUCCUUUUUCCUCUGGACUAUUAAGUGUUCAGGCUCACUAAGCCCUAACAGUUCUUAGAUCCUGUUGGGGUUGGUCUGAAAAAAAAAGAAAAAAAAAAGAAAAAAAAAAGAAAAAAAAAAAGAAAAGAGCAUUCAAUAAAUGUACUGUCUUUAUUGUUUUGUCA